rnacentral:rRNA from 1 species
UACAGAGGGUGCAAGCGUUAGUCGGAAUUACUGGGCGUAAAGCGCGCGUAGGUGGUUUGUUAAGUUGGAUGUGAAAGCCCCGGGCUCAACCUGGGAACGUGCAUUCAAACUGACAAGCUAGAGUAUGGUAGAGGGUGGUGGAAUUUCCUGUGUAGCGGUGAAAUGCGUAGAUAUAGGAAGGAACACCAGUGGCGAAGGCGACCACCUGGACUGAUACUGACACUGAGGUGCG